GUUAAGCAGGAAAUGUGGAGCCGUAGCGAAAGCGAGUCUGAAUAGGGCGUUGAGUAUUUGGUCGUAGACCCGAAACCAGGUGAUCUACCCAUGGUCAGGUUGAAGUUCAGGUAACACUGAAUGGAGGACCGAACCGACUUACGUUGAAAAGUGAGCGGAUGAACUGUGGGUAGCGGAGAAAUUCCAAUCGAACUUGGAGAUAGCUGGUUCUCUCCGAAAUAGCUUUAGGGCUAGCCUCAAGUGAUGAUUAUUGGAGGUAGAGCACUGUUUGGACGAGGGGCCCCUCUCGGGUUACCGAAUUCAGACAAACUCCGAAUGCCAAUUAAUUUAACUUGGGAGUCAGAACAUGGGUGAUAAGGUCCGUGUUCGAAAGGGAAACAGCCCAGACCACCAGCUAAGGUCCCAAAAUAUAUGUUAAGUGGAAAAGGAUGUGGCGUUGCCCAGACAACUAGGAUGUUGGCUUAGAAGCAGCCAUCAUUUAAAGAGUGCGUAAUAGCUCACUAGUCGAGUGACACUGCGCCGAAAAUGUACCGGGGCUAAACAUAUUACCGAAGCUGUGGAUUGUCCGUAGGACAAUGGUAGGAGAGCGUUCUAAGGGCGUUGAAGCAUGAUCGCAAGGACAUGUGGAGCGCUUAGAAGUGAGAAUGCCGGUGUGAGUAGCGAAAGACGGGUGAGAAUCCCGUCCACCGAUUGACUAAGGUUUCCAGAGGAAGGCUCGUCCGCUCUGGGUUAGUCGGGUCCUAAGCUGAGGCCGACAGGCGUAGGCGAUGGAUAACAGGUUGAUAUUCCUGUACCACCUAGUAUCGUUUUAAUCGAUGGGGGGGAC
rnacentral:rRNA from 1 species